UGGGGAAUUUUGGACAAUGGGGGAAACCCUGAUCCAGCCAUCCCGCGUGUGCGAUGAAGGCCUUCGGGUUGUAAAGCACUUUUGGCAGGAAAGAAACGUCGCGGGUUAAUACCCCGCGAAACUGACGGUACCUGCAGAAUAAGCACCGGCUAACUACGUGCCAGCAGCCGCGGUAAUACGUAGGGUGCAAGCGUUAAUCGGAAUUACUGGGCGUAAAGCGUGCGCAGGCGGUUCGGAAAGAAAGAUGUGAAAUCCCAGAGCUUAACUUUGGAACUGCAUUUUUAACUACCGGGCUAGAGUGUGUCAGAGGGAGGUGGAAUUCCGCGUGUAGCAGUGAAAUGCGUAGAUAUGCGGAGGAACACCGAUGGCGAAGGCAGCCUCCUGGGAUAACACUGACGCUCAUGCACGAAAGCGUGGGGAGCAAACAGGAUUAGAUACCCUGGUAGUCCACGCCCUAAACGAUGUCAACUAGCUGUUGGGGCCUUCGGGCCUUGGUAGCGCAGCUAACGCGUGAAGUUGACCGCCUGGGGAGUACGGUCGCAAGAUUAAACUUAAAUGAAUUGACGGGGGUCAUAGCUGUUU
rnacentral:rRNA from 1 species